CGAGUAGAUGCGCUUGUUUUGAGAUCAAAGCAAGAGCUACAUGUGUACAUUUGUUCAUAUUAUUUGCUAGUUAGUGAGUUACUAGCCCAGUUAUAACUAAAUUCCAGUCAGUGGUUGCUUCCUACAGGAGCACUAAAUGUGUGCAUUUCUUUGUCAGGUUCAUCCCUCCCCCUGGGACAUCAAUGGCUAGCCGGCGAAUACGGUGAGACACCUCUUGAGGGUUCGACCACGGGUCAGGGGUUUCCAGUACCUGGUUCACUGGGAGGCUUAUGAUCCGGAGGAUAGGUGCUGGGUUCCUGCUAAAGACAUCCUGGACCCAGUCCUCAUCGAAGAGAUUUUCAUCACCGACACCCCGGUCAGCCAGGUUCCUAGAGGGGGAGGGGGGGUACUGUCAAGCCCUGAUCUGUUUCACCUGUUCUUGUGAUUAUCUCCACCUCCUUCAGUUGUUGCGUAUUUAUCCCAG
ensembl:lncRNA